GACUAAACAAACCUCAUUAAUUUGGGCAUCACCACUUUUCUUGAUCCAGCCAAUCUUGUAAGGACUUGAAUGAGAUUCCGUUUUCAACUUAAGUGCAACCACAAGCUUCUUGGAGACACAAUUUUCAUUGUUGCCGUUGUCAAAGAUCACACUACACACUUUGCCUUGGAUGAUACUUAGGGUCUUGAAAAGGCUAUGCCUUUGUUGGUGAGAGGUGUCACUUUUUGGAGUAAUUAAGACUCUUUGCAGCAUACACGAUAGCCUCUCUCCAUCAUCGGGUUCUAAUAUUUCUUCUUCUUGAGAGAGAUCUUCUUCUUUUUCUUCAACAUAAUCUUCCUCUUCUUCAAGAAUAGCCACUGUUUUUCUUUUAGGGCAAACAUUCGAGAGAUGACUAGUUUGACCACAGCGAAAAUAUUUGCUUAAAUUUGGCCUUUGAUAAGCAUUUUCUGCCAGCCUCUUUCCAUUUGUCUCAUUAGUUUUAUCCUUCUCUUGAUCUUUGUUAUAACAAGUCAUAGAGGAUUGAGUUGCAGCCGAUUUGGAAUUAAUGUUCCAUGGUCCCCUCCUGGUAUUUUUCUUCAAAUUCAACUCAAUAAUUUCUUCAACGGAUUCUGCAUAUGUAAUAGCAUCAGCAAGAUUUAAAAAAGGUUGAAUUUUUCUUUUUCUUUGAUGUCAAACCUUAAUCUUCCUACAAACCGUGCAACAAGGUGCUGCUCAUUCUCCAUUAGAUUGGUAAGAUCUCAAUCCGUGAAAUUCCUCUAUAUAAUCAGCACAUGUUCUUACUCCUUGCCGACAAUUAUGGUACUAAUUAUAAAGAGUUUGUUCAUAAUUGGGAGGAAGGAAACGUGUCUUCAUUGAUUUUUUUCAUUUUCUCCUAAAAGGCAAUAGGUCUUUUCCCAUUUUUUCACCUAUUAACCUCAAGUUGUUGCCAUCAAGUUGAUGCUCCAGCCUUCAGCUUUAAUGCUACUAAAUGGACUUUCUUUACCCUGGGAGCAUUCAGAUAAUUGAAAAAAAAAUCAGUAUUCUUCAACCAAUCAAGAAAAAUCUCAAUAUUACGUUUACCAUCAAUUUGGAAGAUCAAUUUUCAUCUUGUAUUCUACCGGUUGUCUCCUUUCAUCAAACUGAGGUAGAAAUCUUCUGUUCUGGUUUUAAAAUGGCCUUUCUUGCAGGUCAUCAUCUAAGGAACUUCAAUCUUGAGGUCCUUGAUACAUUUCAUGGUUUCUUGGAAAAGAAUUUUGAUAGUCUAGAUAUGGUCUCCUUCGUUCUUGGCCAUCACAUCUCCUUUCUUGAUGCAUUUCUUGAUGAUUUCUUUCAGCCCUAUGAAUUCCAGCACCACGAAUGCCACGCUUGUCCCAAGAUUGGAGUUCCUCAUAUGAUUUCUUUCUUGAUCUUCUUGAUGAACAUCUUGAGGAGGUGCCAAUGCCUCUACUCUUUGCAAGACUUCUUGAAGUGUAUUUUUUAUUCUUUCCACAGAAGCUUCCAUGGACAACAAGAGGACGGGGUUUUCAUCCGCCUCUUGGUUUUCAACAAUUUGCUCUACUAUCGCUGGAUUAGCACGUCGAACAGCCAUUUGGCCCAUAAAUUUUAGACGCUUUGAUACCAAUUGGUGUGAACCAAAGAGUUUAUUUUUUCUAUCAAUAUUCUACCCUCAAUGUGAGAGGAUUAUAGGGGAAAAAGUUGUUCCAUAGUAACUUAGAACUUAUUAAUGAAUAACAG
rnacentral:lncRNA from 1 species